AGCUUUGUGCAGUGGCAGUAUCGUAGCCACUGAGGUUUAUCCGAGGUGCGAUUAUUGCUAAUUAAAACCGGACUUUGUGAAAUUGGUUAACAGUUUGGAGAAAAACAUAAAAGCUAGAUACUUAACUCAUUGGUAUAUUAAAACAAAA